GACGAACGCUGGCGGCGUGCUUAACACAUGCAAGUCGAACGGGAAGGCCCUGCUUUUGUGGGGUGCUCGAGUGGCGAACGGGUGAGUAACACGUGAGUAACCUGCCCUUGACUUUGGGAUAACUUCAGGAAACUGGGGCUAAUACCGGAUAGGAGCUCCUGCUGCAUGGUGGGGGUUGGAAAGUUUCGGCGGUUGGGGAUGGACUCGCGGCUUAUCAGCUUGUUGGUGGGGUAGUGGCUUACCAAGGCUUUGACGGGUAGCCGGCCUGAGAGGGUGACCGGCCACAUUGCGACUGAGAUACGGCACAGACUCCUACGGGAGGCAGCAGUGGGGAAUAUUGCACAAUGCGCGGAAGCAUGAUGCAGCAACGCCGCGUGCGGGAUGACGGCCUUCGGGUUGUAAACCGCUUUCGCCUGUGACGAAGCGUGAGUGACGGUAAUGGGUAAAGAAGCACCGGCUAACUACGUG
rnacentral:rRNA from 1 species